rnacentral:rRNA from 1 species
AUUGAACGCUGGCGGCAUGCUUUACACAUGCAAGUCGAACGGUAACAGGUUAAGCUGACGAGUGGCGAACGGGUGAGUAAUGCAUCGGAACGUGCCCGGUCGUGGGGGAUAACGCAGCGAAAGCUGCGCUAAUACCGCAUACGAUCUGAGGAUGAAAGCGGGGGACCGUAAUGCCUCGCGCGAUCGGAGCGGCCGAUGUCAGAUUAGGUAGUUGGUGGGGUAAAGGCUCACCAAGCCAACGAUGUGUAGCUGGUCUGAGAGGACGACCAGCCACACUGGGACUGAGACACGGCCCAGACGCCUACGGGAGGCAGCAGUGGGGAAUUUUGGACAAUGGGCGAAAGCCUGAUCCAGCAAUGCUGCGUGCAGGAAGAAGGCCUUCGGGUUGUAAACUGCUUUUGUACGGAGCGAAAAGGUCUCCUCUAAUACAGGGGGCUCAUGACGGUACCGUAAGAAUAAGCACCGGCUAACUACGUGCCAGCAGCCGCUGUAA